UUUGAAUUCCUGCCUUUGAUCUUGUGGUCAUUGCAUGAGAAUUGAUUACUUGUUCUUGAUUUGCAGCAAUCUCUUCUGCUACUGGAUUCACUUCUUCAUCACUUCCUUCAUUAUUAGAGGUAGGUUCAGGAUCUGUCAGUUGUUCUGUAACUUGAGAUCCUGCAUAUGUAUUAAGAUCAAUCGGUUUAGAAAACAAUUGGACUGGAGCUGCAGGUACUGAAAUCUCACUGAUCUUGUUAUGUUGCCAAGCUUGAAGAAGAGGUGUUGAGUACUGAGGGACUAGAGAUUGAUACUUUUCCUUGAAUGGUAGUUCAGACUCAUUGAAGAUAACAUUUCUUGAGAUAUAGACCUUGCCUGUUGGAGGGUAAAAACAGCGAUAUCCCUUAUAUUGGCUGUUAUAUCCAAGGAACACACAUUGCAAGGAGCGCGGAUCGAAUUUGUUUUGAGCGAGAGGUCUGAGACAAGGAUAACAUGCUGAACCAAACACACGGAGAGAUGAAUAGUCUGGCUUUUCCCCAAAUAACGCUUCAUAUGGACUCAAAUUCUUCAAGACAGAGGAUGGUAAGCGAUUAAUGAUGUAAUUGGCAGUGAAGAAGGAUUCUACCCAAAACUUCUGAGGUGUAUGACUAUGAAAGAGCAUAGACAAUCCAAGCUCCACAAGAUGUCUAUGUUUUCGUUCGGCCAAUCCGUUUUGCUGUGGGGUAUAGGGGCAUGAGAUUCGAUGAUGGAUGCCAUGCUCACUGAGAUGUGUUUUUAACUUGUUGCUCACAAACUCUCCUCCUCCAUCACUCUGAAAUACUUUGAUCUUAGUGUUUAGCUGGUUCUCUACCAACUUCUGAAACGAAAUAAAAACUGAGAGAAAUUCUGACUUGUUGUGCAAAGGAUAGAACCAAGAGUAUCUUGAAUAAUCAUCAACAAAAAUAGCAUAAUAUUUGAGGCCUUGGUUGGAUACAACUGGAGAAGGACCCCAUAAAUCACAAUGAAUCCGAUCUAGAGGAUGUAAAACACGAGAAUCUGAAAUUAAAAAUGGUAGUCUUGAACUUUUCCCCAUCUGGCAAGGUUCACAAACUGGAGAUGUUCUGCUCUUAUUUAUCUGAAUCGCCUUGCUGUUUUGAAGGUGCUGGAGAGCCUUAGAAUUUGCGUGUCCAAGUCGGUGAUGCCAUACUUCCUCUGUUGCUGCACACUGACGGUUUGAAUAAAGAGCCACAAACUCUUGAUUCUCCAACACAUAGAGCCCAUUUCUACGAGGACCCGUGGUUACCACUUUCUGUGUUUGUAAAUCGAUUAUGCAAACCUUAUUAGCAUCAAAGUAAACACCGCAAGGAUAGUCAUCACACAACUUUGACACAGAGAGAAGAGAUUUUUGUAUAUUUGGAACAACCAAGACUUCAUUUAAAGGAAUCUUACCAUUUGAGGAUUUGAUAGUGGUAGAUCCAGUGUGAGUAAUCGGGAGAUAAGUGCCAUCGCCAACCAAGACAGCAUCAUCCCCUUCGUACUCUGUUGCAGACUGAAGUCCAUUGGUCGAUGAUGUUACGUGAGCCGUCGCAGCUGAGUCGGGAUGCCAUUCCUUGCCUGUAUCAUCUGAGACCCGGAGAGUAGAAAAAGCUUGUAUUUCAGCCUGGUAAUUGUUAUCAAACCGAUUGUAACACUUGAGAGCAGUGUGACCAGUGCGACCACAUAUCUGACACACCGGUCUUGGACCUGAAACUUGUGGGGAGGAUUGAUGUUGGGAAAACCCUCGUCCACGAGUUGAGUAGCCUCCUCUGCCUUUAUUUUGACCAGAACGUCCUCUUCCUUUUUGAUUGGGGUUGUAUUGAGGAGAUCCAGACUCAGAUCUUUCAAUGUUGAAGGCAAGGUGAGGAGUAACAGAUGCCGCUUCUUCAUAUGAUUGUAGCUUACUGUCAAAGCCUUGAACUUCUGAGACAACAUCAUUGAAAGUUGGAGUCGGAAGCUUGCUGAGAGAGCUUUGAAUCACCGUGGUGAUGGGGUCAUAGUCACGACCAAGACCGUUAAGAAAACCAAAAAUUUUCAUUGAUUCAUCGACUGGCUUGCCAAUGGAGCUGAGAGCGUCGCAGAUGGUCUUGAACUCUCGGCAGUAGACAGAGAAAGGCUUUUCCUUUUUGGAGAGAAGCUGGAGAUUCUGACGAAGUGAGAACUCACGAGCAACACUGCUUUUGUUGAAGUUUUCAGCUAGAGACACCCAAAUUUGACGAGAGGUGCUUAGAUUGUGAACAUGACCAAGGACUUCUUCAGACAACGUGCCAAAGAGCCAUGACCGAACUAACUGAUCGGUACAGAACCAAGAUUCAUACAGAGGAUUGGGUUCCUCGGAGGUGACUUCGCCAUUGACGACAAGGCGAGACUGAGAUGGUGCAUUGACGGCGCCAUUAACAAAACCUAUGAGUUUUUGACUCGAUAGGAGAGACUCGAAUUGAGUUUUCCACAAGAGGUAGUUACUGUCUGUGAGUUUGAGAGUAACAGAACUUGUAACAUGAACAUUAUCUGGAAAAGGGUAUGAGGUCGCCAUUUGAAAUACCUGUUAAGGCUACAAAGGCUCUGAUACCAUGAAACGAUUAGAGAAAGUUUCAAGCUUUUGGUAAAAAAAUCGUUUCUUUCUCAAUAAUUACAUUAGGGUUUUACACUACUCUUUUAUAGACAUUGUAGAAGGAGGUAGAUAUGGAACAGUCUAGAAUAUGGCAGAUGCUGUGUAGCUGGCUAUGGUGAGUCAUCAGGCAAAACGCCCCUCCUCUGUACGAUCGUUGCUCUGUUUUGAGCUGGAGUCUAUUUUGUCUUCUUCUAUUUGACUGGGCUGAGAUGGGCCUUUUGUUGUUGUUGGGCCGGUUACUUGUUUGUUGCUCACAAUUGCCAUUUUCUUAUUUACAAACAAUGUAACUAGGGUGUAUGUCGUUUAUAUUUGUCUUAGUUAUUUGUUUUUGAUUUGCAAAUCUCUAAAUUCUAUCAAUCUGUUUUUUUUUUCUUCUAAUUUUCAAUAUUUUUUCUAUGAGUAAAUUAUUAUAUCAACUGUUUCUAAAAAUUAUCUAAUCAUGGUAUGUCUUAGUUAUUUGCUUUUAGAUUGAAUUACAUAUUAAUUAGAUAACAAAAAUGGUAUCGAACUUCCACCAUUGGUUCAAAAAGAAGGUACCACUACAAAAAAAUUAAUAUGCUUAACAUAAUUUACUUAUUAAGUUAGCCCUUUUUAAAAGUGAAAUUCUAAUUAUAUAAUUGCUUGUAAAAUUAAGGGUUUUGUGCAAAAAAAACUAAAAGUUGUUCUUUUUUGUAACUUUACCCUUCACGUCAAAAAAAUGUAAAAUUAUCAUAUGAAAUCUAAAAUAAUAUACAAUAUAGCUUUUCUAAUUGUUAAU
rnacentral:sRNA from 1 species